rnacentral:misc_RNA from 1 species
CUGAAACGUUGUACAAUUCUAUGCGCCUAUAUAAUAAAUACAUAUUUUAACGUCAUAUUAAUUUAUUAAGACAUAUCUCUACAUCGUUUAACACAUUUCAAUAGGAACAUCACAUACUGAAUGGUACUUUUGUAAUCAAACGAAAAUGAAAAAUAUAAUAUUCUGGAGCGUUAUUGAGUUUAUGAUCAGUCUUCUGCUUUUGGAUCACUUCAGCAUUUGUACUCCUCAUGAAACCUCUCAAAUCCUCAAAAAAGACUGCUUUGUACUGAGAUUUGGAAGUCGAAGAUUCCCAGAACGCUUCCAAAAGUCAUCAAAAAUUGCUGCGUCUCUCUCUAAUUGUGAAAAGCUAUGCAUUUCUGAAGGAGAAUUCCGCUGUCGAGGAUAUUCUUUCAGAUAUCCCAAAGAUGUUCUUGAGCUUACAUCCUCACCAAAUUGCAUAUUGACGGAUGAGGACCUCUCUUAUGAAGACAAGGUUGGACUAUCUUUAGCGCUACUAGAAGAAGCCUACACGGAUAUAUACGUGCUGACUCGGCAUGGGGAGUGUAAUCAAAAGAUAUCAAAUGAACACUCUGAGGAAGAUGAGAAUCCCUUUCAAUCUUUAAAAGAUAUUAAUUCUCGAUGCUAUAAAGGAAUUAAAAAUGCAUUCAAGCACUAUGCUUAUAGGGACUAUGCCUCUGUUGCGUCACUGAAUCAGUGUUAUAUUAGAUGUCGAGAUUCUGGGUUCUGCAAGACCUUUAGCUUUAGGAAUAGUAGGGAUUCAUACUCUCGAAAUUGUCUUUUGAGUCAUCGUAAUGUUCAUGAAAUCAAGGAACGGGAUCUUGUAUCAACAGUAAAUAAUGGUGAAGGUGACAGUAAUUGGGAAGUGUUUUCUGUUGAAAGCAAUAGUCCUUUGUGUAAAAACUACGGAUCCUUUUAUACCAAAAAAACAAGUCUAAUUACUUCAUCCAAUUGUUUCAAUUUAGUAGGUCCGCAGUCAAAACACUAUGGAUCAACUAUUUACGGAUCCGUUCAUGCAAAGGAUGUCGCAUCCUGCUCUGUACUUUGUCAUCAAGAUUCUCGGUGUCGGUCUUUUAGCUUUCCUACCGUUACAUUUAGAGCUAAUCUUGAGAACUGUGUUCUAUCUGGAGUGAUUUAUUCAGGAAAACCCACGGAUUUCGAAAAUGACUAUAAUUGGAAUGCCUUUGAAAUUUUAGAUGUUGGGAAUAAGCUUUGCUCCGAAAAAGGUGGUUCUCAUUUAGAAAGUAAAUACCGAGAAGAUAAUCAGGCUGAGGGUAGAAAAGGUUGCUUUAGAAGAAGUAAGUAUGGAUUUUCAUUUGAAUCCGAGUACAAAUUAAGUGUUCGAAACCUAAAUGAUUGUUUUGACGCUUGUAAACAUCACAAAUCCUGCCAAACCAUUGCAUUUAUAAGUAAAACCAAUUAUGGAGAGCCCAACUGCAUUUUGAACGAAAAAAAUAUCCUGGAAUUAGAAAAAGACGAGGAGGAGAUAGGAAAAAACUUUGCUGUUUUGUAUCUGUUCUCACUCAAUUGUCAAGAAAAUAUGAAUACAGAUUGUGAAAUGAUACUCAACAGGGGUUUUGGUCUUCAUGACUCAGUGCUCAAGUCUUCGGCUGAAUUGAAGAGUUUUGAAGAUUGCAGUGAUUUAUGCCGUCGAGACAGUUCAUGCAUUUACUUUUCUUACAAGUACAACGAAAUCAAGUUUAGAGAAAGGAAUUGCGAAUUGUCUGUUUAUGACAGUUUGGGAAGCCAGGACUUUGUACCAAACAGUAAUUGGAACGUUUAUGUUCAGCUUCCAAAAUGUCGAAACUCCACAAAAGAAAAUUGGAAACAAUCUAAUUCAACAGAUUAUCUUGAUAAUAAAGAACAUAUUUGUUUCGAACUAACAAAGGCUGGUUAUCGUCAUGGAGUCUCCGUCUCCAACAAUGGGAUUUAUCUAAAGUCCCUCUCUGUUAAAGAUAUAAAGGAAUGUCGUUCUGAAUGUCAGAGAUCAAGUUCAGGAAACCAUAUUUGUCUCUCUUUCAGCUAUCACUAUGAGAAAAAGGAUGAAACAUCAAAAAUCCUUACUAUUCCGAAUUGCAUUCUUUCAACUGGAUCAGCUCCCAACGGUCACAAUUCUUGGAAACAAGAGGAUAAUAUCGUUCCAGAUUCUUCAUGGGAUGUAUACAAUAGAAAAAUUGAAGACUCUCAAUGCAUUGCACCUUUUAAAGAAUCAAGAGAUUCAAUUGAUUCAAAGUGUAUUGAUGUCAUCAAGACCAAUCUGAAACAUAGUGUGCAUCGAAUAUUUUUGUCAUUAAGAAGAGCCGAUCUUAAAAGUUGUCUAAUGGCUUGUUUGUCCAAUAGCAAUUGCCAGUCAUUUAGCUACAUACCAUUAUUUCAAAUAAGUCCCCAUUAUUCAAAUAAUUGUCUAUUGUCUGGACUUGAGGAAAUAACUUUAGAUACCUCAGACGUCGUGCAUGAAAAUCGAUGGCAAGUGAUGAAGCCAAGAUUCGAUGGUGUCUUUCAAAAAUGUUUCCCUGAGAAAACAAAGGAAAGAAAAUUCUGCUACAGGAAACAUAGUCAUUCUGGACCACUUCAAAGAGUUUCAAAAAAUCUCAAAACCACAAGUUUUAAAGAUUGCUUGAAUCAAUGUCGUAGAAGUGAUUCCUGUACGACCUUUGAUUUUGAAUCUGCUGGGGCCUGUACCUUGAGUAACUUUAAUCCAUUCCAAAAUGACUAUCGCGCACAUUACACAGAUCGAAAGGGAAGGCAUCAGGAUCAUAGGAAUGUAUAUGUCUUUGAAACGUGUUCAACCCCGAAGUGCUCAAGACUUUUCAAAAAGCGUCAUCGUUUGUAUUCCAGAAGACCAAUUGUUUAUAAAGUUAAAACCAUGAACUCAGAUUCAUUAGAGUAUUGUGAAUCCCUUUGUUUGAAUUCAAAUAGUGAUUGCAAAUAUUUUGCAUUCCGUUCGGGCUUGAUUGGAAAUAACUGUGAAUUUCUAACUGUCCUAAGGGAAGAAGAAUCUGGAGGAGGGAUUUUGCUCUAUGAUCAAGAAUGGAAUGUAUACAAAGUGAAGGAAACGAAAAAGGACAUUGAAAUUGAUGGAGCCCAGGAAUGUAUUGAGGAUGACUCCAGCUCUUCCACAUUUUCUCAGACCUUAAAUCAUGAUCAGCAGCAAAAUAACUUAACCUCAGAUAAAAAAUAUCCCUUAAGUUGCUUUGAUCCAUUCAUUAGAGUGAAUAUGGAUCUACGGCCAAGAGUUGUGACUAAAACUAUAUUUGUCCGUAGUAAAGAGGAAUGUGCCAUAGAGUGCCUUCGAUUACAGAAUCGUUGCUCUGCCUUUUCAUAUAGACAGGAACAAAAACUACCUUACAAGGAUUGUAAAUUGAGUGACUUAUUUGAUAGAAACCCGGAGACGGAUUUAAAGCAAAACAGCUAUUAUGAAAUAUGGGAGCUUUCUUCAAGAUGUUCAAUAGCCCAUAAUCAUAACCACCAAACCCAGUUUCAGAACAACAUUGAGUAUCAAAAUCAUUAUCUAACCAGUCACCAUGAGCAUCAAAACCAUUCUUCAGACAAUCAACAGUCUCAGAUUUACCAUGGUAAUCAGUAUCAAAAUUCAAACAAUCAACAGUCUCAAGGCCACCAUAGUGAUCAGUAUCAUAAUUCAAACCAAUUUCAGAAUCAGGACAACUAUGAAAAUCAGUAUCAAAAUGAUGACUCAAACAAUCAUCCUAAAACUCAGGGCUACUAUGGAAGUCAGUAUCAAAAUCAUGAUUCAAAACAUCAUCCUCAAACUCAGGGCUACUAUGGAAGUCAGUAUCAAAAUCAUGAUUCAAAACAUCAUCCUCAAACUCAGGGCUACUAUGGAAGUCAGUAUCAAAAUCAUGAUUCAAAACAUCGUCCUCAAACUCAGGGCUACUAUGGAAGUCAGUAUCAAAAUCAUGACUCAAACAAUCAUCAUCAAACUCAGGGCUAUUAUCCAAAUCAGUUUCAAAACCACCAAUCACACAACCACCAACAAAAUAUCAAUCCAAAUUCAAAUGUUAAAUAUCCAUUUUUUUCAACCUAUAAUGUUUCUUCCCAAGGAGUUAUUCAACAUUUUCAAAACAAUCAUACCUCAAAUCAGAAAGAGGAUCAUGUGGGGUUAUGGCGUCCAAAUGCUCCUGGAUAUAAUCAUAACGUCUUCCAUUCCUCUUCGCAUCAGAAUAGCUCUCACUCAAAUACUAAUAGUAAUAAUAAUAAUAACGUGGACAAAGACCACUAUUAUUAUUCAAAACCUAAUCAAGGGGCUUUCAAUCAUGGAAGCUAUUUAAGUACUCUACAUAAUCAACGAAAUGACAGUUACUAUUAUGCAAACAAUCAAGAAACACAAAACUACCAUGGAAACCAUUUGAACGGUCAACAAGCCUACAAUCAUCAACAUAGCAUUCAAAACCCAAGCUUUAGUUCUGGUGAGUAUCUUGAGCAUCCUUUUCUCCACCAUUCUGAAAGACCUCAAGAGGAAAAGCAUCAUCGAUAUGAGGAGAAUGAGCAUCAAAGCUCAUAUUCUAACCAUAAUAUCGUUUGGAGUGUAAACGGAUUGAUUUGUCAAGAAACUCCACAAAGAGAUCCUGUUGUUGGCUUUUGGUUUUGUUCAACUGAUCUUGGUGGAAUUGACUAUGUAUGUAGGCCAGACAGUGAUUGUUCCUUUCAAGACGGAUACUCGUAUCCAUGGUAAAGUCAUACCUUACUCAAUACCCAGUCUUAUAAUUACACUUUAUCUUCAUUCGCACCAUUUAUUUCAAGAUAUAGAAUUGUAUUGAUCUUAAAGCUUCUUGAUUUUUCUGCUCUUAUCAUUUCAUCUUGGGUAAAUGGGCUACGUUUUGGCACAAAGAUUCCAUACUUUCUUUCAGAGGUGCUACGUUGGUAAUACCAAGACGCAGUGGAGAUCAUGUCAAAAGCCACGUCAUUUCUAUUA